UGAACAUCCUUUACUCUAAGAUCCCAUAAAAAGAGAAACUCCAUGAAGGUGCUUCUUUGUGACCUCAUUUCCCAUCAAGAUGUCACUAAGAAGAAUGUCUACCCUAACACUGCCAUUUCAGCAUGAAGCUGUCAGACAAAAACAGGGCAGAGUGAACAUAAAAAAUACAGACUUCAAUCAUGGAGGAAAGGACGUGGCAUGUCUGCAGGCAAAGUUGUGGAAAAGUUGCAUUAGCAAGCACUGCAUUCAACGUGAAGAAAUCUUCCUUUUAACGACUUUAAAUGCAAAAGAACUCUCAACCACCUUUCCGAGUCCAGAACAAACUGAGGGCGCUGGAAAGUUUAAACAUUAAACGAUAUUGACCAAACAUCCUCCACAGUAGGAGUUAUUACUUAUCACCGACGCUUAGCAAACAAUUUCAGCAAAUGGAAUUCAAGACGGCUGCCUCCCUCUUUUUCUGUUGG